GGUUUUGAGUUCACGCUGAUGGUGGUUGGUGAGUCAGGUCUAGGAAAAUCAACUCUAAUAAACAGCCUGUUCCUGACUGAUCUCUAUCCAGAAAGAAUCAUACCUGGAGCUGCAGAGAAAAUUGAAAGAACUGUCCAAAUUGAGGCUUCAACUGUGGAGAUUGAAGAACGUGGGGUUAAGCUGCGCCUGACAGUAGUGGACACACCUGGCUAUGGGGAUGCCAUCAAUUACAGGGAUUGUUUUAAGACCAUCAUCUCCUACAUCGAUGAGCAGUUUGAACGCUACCUUCACGAUGAGAGUGGCUUGAACAGGCGACACAUCAUUGAUAACAGGGUGCACUGCUGCUUCUAUUUCAUUUCACCUUUUGGACAUGGGCUGAAGCCUUUAGAUGUCGCAUUUAUGAAAGCAAUACACAAUAAGGUAAACAUUGUGCCUGUCAUUGCGAAAGCCGACACACUCACUCUGAAGGAGUGUGAACGACUGAAGAAAAGGAUUCUGGAUGAAAUUGAAGAACAUAACAUCAAAAUCUAUCACUUACCUGAUGCAGAAUCAGAUGAAGAUGAAGACUUUAAAGAGCAAACUCGGCUCCUCAAGGCCAGUAUCCCAUUUUCUGUGGUUGGAUCCAACAAGCUGAUUGAAGCCAAAGGCAAGAAGGUCAGAGGUCGCCUCUACCCAUGGGGUGUUGUGGAGGUGGAGAAUCCUGAACAUAACGAUUUUUUGAAGCUGAGAACCAUGCUCAUCACCCACAUGCAAGAUCUACAGGAAGUGACCCAGGACCUGCACUAUGAAAAUUUCCGUUCUGAGAGGCUUAAGAGAGGUGGCAGGAAAGUGGAGAAUGAGGAUAUGAAUAAAGAUCAGAUCCUGCUGGAAAAGGAAGCUGAGCUUCGCCGCAUGCAAGAGAUGAUUGCAAGGAUGCAAGCGCAGAUGCAGAUGCAGAUGCAGGCUGGUGACAGUGACAGCGGGGCUCUUGGGCACCAUGUGUGAGUUGUGAGCAUGAACAUGUAACACUCCUGAAUAAAAAGAAUACAUUCCAGUUGAGUGUUAAGAUACAGAUUUUCAUGAGAUCCUUGGACGAGUACCCAUUCACAUAUA